UCCCCGUUACCGGGGCAGUCUGAUUAGAAAAAUCCAACUAAUCACAAGGGUUGCGCUCGUUGAUGGACUUAACCAAACAUCUCACGACACGAGCUGACGACGGCCAUGCAGCACCUGUCACUACGGUCCGAAGACACUCUCUGCUUUCGCAGAAAUUAGUAGGAUGUCAAGCCCUGGUAAGGUUCUUCGCUUAUCAUCGAAUUAAACAACACGCUCCACCGCUUGUGCGGGUCCCCGUCAAUUCCUUUAUGUUUUAGCCUUGCGGCCGUACUCCACAGGCGGGAUGCUUAACGCGUUAGCUUCGCAACACAGCGGGUCGAUACGCUGUACUGCUAGCAUCCAUCGUUUACGGCGUGGACUAC
rnacentral:misc_RNA from 1 species